AGAGUUUGAUCAUGGCUCAGAACGAACGCUGGCGGCGUGCUUAAUACAUGCAAGUCGAACGUGAAUCCCGACUUCGGUUGGGAUGAAAGUGGCGAACGGGUGAGUAACACGUAAGUAAUCUGCCUUCAAGUUUGGGAUAACCCUGCCAACGCGGGGCUAAUACCGGAUGUGGUCCAGCUGACACAUGUUGGCUGGAUUAAAGGUCGCGAGGCCGCUUGGAGAUGAGCUUGCGGCCCAUUAGUUAGUUGGUGAGGUAACGGCCCACCAAGACGAAGAUGGGUAGCCGGCCUGAGAGGGUGUACGGCCACAUUGGGACUGAGAUACGGCCCAGACUCCUACGGGAGGCAGCAGUAGGGAAUUUUGCGCAAUGGACGGAAGUCUGACGCAGCAACGCCGCGUGAAGGGUGACGGCCUUCGGGUUGUAAACUUCUGUUGGAUGGGAAAAAAAGCCUAGGAAUAGGAAUUGAUGGUACCAUUCGAGUAAGCACCGGCUAACUACGUGCCAGCAGCCGCGGUAAU
rnacentral:rRNA from 1 species